rnacentral:lncRNA from 1 species
AGCCAAGAGAUUGAGGAAGCUAUGGCCAAGGAGGGGAUUUAUGAAGACUCCUGGUUGCAGUUGGGUCCAGCCUGCAUAAACUCUCACUGAUGUUCUCCAGCCAGCGAAAGCUCAUGAUACGUUAAUGAGGGAAAUCUUGAUUAUUUAUCAAGAUAAGCUAGAGUGAGCCUUGCUAAUUGCUGCUUAAAGUUGUGAUUACAGAAGUUAACCAGAUUUAGAUGCACUUUAUUUAUAUGCAAUUUAAUAGUCUGUCUCCCUCCGUUGUCGCUCAAGAACUCUUCUGUUUAACUAUUUGCUGUGAUUUAUGAUUACGUUUUGCCUUCUAUACCAGGGAUUUUAGCUGGUGCAAAUGCUUACUGACGAAGGCUUAGAUAUUUGACUACUUCGCCAUUGGCACGAACUGAGAUUCUUGGAUCUUCCUUCAUAAUCUUCUACAUGACAACGUGUUUCUGAAAAUGAUUCUGCAUUCGUUGGGUGAUCAAGUAAUGCUUCCAUAGAGGAAAAGCUAUUCUACUGUUUAUCGACAUGUGAUCAACUAAAGCUUCCAUCGAGGAAAAGGUAUGCUACUGUUUGUCAACAUGAAAAUUUUUAAACUUAGCACUGCUAGACUAGAUAUGGUAAAUUUCCAUUGUUAGCAGAUGUCGUACCAAAUGUGCUGACAGGCCCUGCCAUUUGCUUAUAGGUACUUUAGUUCGAAACCUUCUGGUUCCGCUGGUGGUAAUCCAAAACUGCAGUCCUAAACCAAUUGAAAACUGAAACUAAUUGAAACCAUAUAGGUUGUAUUCGAUUAUUUAUAGGUCAUUCAUGUUAUUUUGUUUUUCAUGCUUUGAUCUCUUUGACUGACACAGGAUGGAAGGUAGAUAAAAUCUUCAUAAGAGUUGUAU